rnacentral:rRNA from 1 species
AGUGAACGCUGGCGGUAGGCCUAACACAUGCAAGUCGAACGGCAGCACAGUAAGAGCUUGCUCUUACGGGUGGCGAGUGGCGGACGGGUGAGGAAUACAUCGGAAUCUACUUUUUCGUGGGGGAUAACGUAGGGAAACUUACGCUAAUACCGCAUACGACCUACGGGUGAAAGCAGGGGAUCUUCGGACCUUGCGCGAUUGAAUGAGCCGAUGUCGGAUUAGCUAGUUGGCGGGGUAAAGGCCCACCAAGGCGACGAUCCGUAGCUGGUCUGAGAGGAUGAUGAGCCACACUGGAAGUGAGACACGGUCCAGACUCCUACGGGAGGCAGCGGUGGGGAAUAUUGGACGAUGGGCGCAAGCCUGAUCCAGCCAUACCGGGUGGGUGAAGCAGGCCUUCGGGUUGUAAAGCCCUUUUGUUGGGAAAGAAAAGCAGCAGGUUAAUACCCCGCUGUUCUGACGGUACCCAAAGAAUAAGCACCGGCUAACUUCGUG